AGAGUGAUGCUACAUGCUUUCACAGAUAUGUGAUCUCAUUCACAAGGAAAAGAACCAAGGCUGGGACCUCCAGAAGCGCCCUCAUUCAAAACCAGAAACUCCAUCCCUUUUGCUACCUUUGUCUAAAAUGCUACUAAGGCGGCAUUUCUAAGAAGUACAGACCAUAAGUGUAACAGGUGAAAGCAAGAUGGCCAUCAGCACCAUCUGUUGACUUUGAACUUCAAAUCUUGCAAAAUUAAUUCAUUCCAGGAUAUAAACCAAUUUGAGGAGACACAGAGUUAAAUAAUUUACUAGAGGAAAACACUGUUAUUUUUCUUUUUCUUUUUUUUUCUUUUUUUUUUUUUUCGGUCUUUCUAGGGCUGCACCUGCAACCUACACCAGGGCGGCAUAUGGAGGUUCCCAGGCUAGGGGUCUAAUCGGAGCUGUAGACGCUGGCCUACGCCAGAGCCACAGCAACGCCAGAUCCAAGCAGCAUCUGCAACCUACCUCAGCUCACGGUAACGCCGGAUUCUUAACCCACUGAGUAAGGCCAGGGAUGGAAUCGAAACCUCAUGGUUCUUAGUCGGACUCGUUAACCACUGAGCCAUAACGGGAACUCCUGUUAUUUUUCUGUUUCUAAAUUUCCUACCAAAUUAUUAAGACUCUCAAAGAUGUUUCUCUCAUCAUGUAAGUUUUUUUCAUUUGCUAGUCCUAAUCCUAAAACGACAGGUGAAAUUUUAAUAUUGGCUAUUCCUCUAACACAGAGGAAAAUUAGAUAAUUACUAAAUACAUCAUUUCAACCUAAACGUAGGUAGCUUUUUAAACCAAGUAAUUACAUUUUCAAUACCCAGGAGUCAGAGUAGAUUGAUGUUUUGGCUCGAGCAAUAUAUGCUCAUACUUUUUCAAAAAUAACUCUAUUUUUUUAGAAAUCUAACAUAUGGCAAAUGCAUUUAAGCAACAAUUUUCCUUCCGUAAUGAUGUUAGCAAUUUGCAAAGAUGAAGUGGAAGCUAGGACUGUGGGCAGGGUAUACGUAAAUUUGAAACAAGUACCUGCCUGAUCUGUUUGGAAAAUGACUAACCCAUCAAGACUGAAGCUCCAUGCAUUCCAUGUGGGUAAAACAGGAGUUGAAAGUGUCCAUACGGUCCUAAAAAAGUGUACUUCAGAUGCAAAGUUUUUUUUAAUCCCUAACCAUAAGAAUCAAAGAGAAAUUAUUGAUCAAAGUUGUAUUUACAAGGUUAUCUGAGAUAUUACUGUUAUCAAACAGUAACCCCUCGUUGGAAUCACAAAUCAUCAAAAUCAGAAAGGCCCCUAGGGGUUAAUUUAGUCAAAGUCUCUCUUUUACAGGGGAGGAAAUCAGAUGAGGAAACUAAGGCCUGAAGCUUUGGGAUAAAUUGCUACAAAUCUAUGUCAGAAAUGGCAGAGGUUAACCCAGAUCCCAGCCUCCCAAUUUACAAUCUAAUGAGCUUUCCAGUCAAUUUCAAUGCUCCUC
rnacentral:lncRNA from 1 species